GAUGAACGCUGGCGGCGUGCUUAAUACAUGCAAGUCGAGCGGAAGGACCAUAAGCUUGCGUCGCUCUCGUUAGCCGCGCGCGGGUGAGUAACAUGUGUAUCAUCCACCUAUAUGUCGGGGAAAUCCACGGGACUCCGGAUCUAACCCCGGAUAAUAUCCUGCACCGCGUGGUUGAAUGGUGAAAGUCGGUCUUUCUGUCUCUACUAGAUGCAUCUGCGCUGCAUUAGCUAGUUGGUAAGGUCACGGCUUACCAAGGCUACGAUGCAUAGCCGAAGUGCGAGAGGGGUCGGCCACACGAGAAGUGAGACGCGGUCCAGACUCCUGCGGGAGGCAGCAGUAGGGUAUGGUCGGCAGUAGGCGGGAGCCUGACAGAGCAGGGCCACGUGAGAGACGGAGGUCUUCGGAUCGUAAAGCUCUGUUUUUAGGGGAGAACAGAUGUGUCAGUAGCUGUGCACAUCUUGACGGUAACUAGUAAGAAAGCCACGGCUAACUACGUG
rnacentral:rRNA from 1 species